UACGUAGGAUGCUAGCGUUGUCCGGAUUUACUGGGCGUAAAGAGCGUGUAGGCGGCCAGAAAAGUCCGCUGUGAAAACUCGAGGCUCAACUUCGAGCUGUCGGUGGAAACUUUCUGGCUAGAGUCCGGAAGAGGAGAAUGGAAUUCCUGGUGUAGCGGUGAAAUGCGCAGAUAUCAGGAAGAACACCCGUGGCGAAGGCGGUUCUCUGGGACGGUACUGACGCUGAGACGCGAAAGCGUGGGGAGCGAACAGG
rnacentral:rRNA from 1 species